rnacentral:rRNA from 1 species
GCAGUCGAGCGGAGAUGAGGUGCUUGCACCUUAUCUUAGCGGCGGACGGGUGAGUAAUGCUUAGGAAUCUGCCUAUUAGUGGGGGACAACAUUCCGAAAGGAAUGCUAAUACCGCAUACGCCCUACGGGGGAAAGCAGGGGAUCUUCGGACCUUGCGCUAAUAGAUGAGCCUAAGUCGGAUUAGCUAGUUGGUGGGGUAAAGGCCUACCAAGGCGACGAUCUGUAGCGGGUCUGAGAGGAUGAUCCGCCACACUGGGACUGAGACACGGCCCAGACUCCUACGGGAGGCAGCAGUGGGGAAUAUUGGACAAUGGGCGGAAGCCUGAUCCAGCCAUGCCGCGUGUGUGAAGAAGGCCUUUUGGUUGUAAAGCACUUUAAGCGAGGAGGAGGCUACUUAGAUUAAUACUCUAGGAUAGUGGACGUUACUCGCAGAAUAAGCACCGGCUAACUCUGUGCCAGCAGCCGCGGUAAUACAGAGGGUGCGAGCGUUAAUCGGAUUUACUGGGCGUAAAGCGUGCGUAGGCGGCUGAUUAAGUCGGAUGUGAAAUCCCUGAGCUUAACUUAGGAAUUGCAUUCGAUACUGGUCAGCUAGAGUAUGGGAGAGGAUGGUAGAAUUCCAGGUGUAGCGGUGAAAUGCGUAGAGAUCUGGAGGAAUACCGAUGGCGAAGGCAGCCAUCUGGCCUAAUACUGACGCUGAGGUACGAAAGCAUGGGGAGCAAACAGGAUUAGAUACCCUGGUAGUCCAUGCCGUAAACGAUGUCUACUAGCCGUUGGGGUCCUUUG